AUGACUUACAUUGUGAAACGGAUGGAGUAUAUUUUUUCGUCAACUUUACUUCAACCAUCUUCCCACUUCUAAUCUCCCCUAAUAAGGGGUAUGAAAUGUUUUUUUUUUCCUUUACGUUUCUUUUUUAUUGUGGUAGACAAGAUAAAAAAAAACAACAAAGCCACUUGAGUUUGUGGCACCUUAACUUCGUGGCAUUACUACCAAUUUCCUCUGACCUCUGGUAUACUGAUGCCUCUCCCCUGCUUUUCAACCGUGCACUGUACUGUCACGCACGCACAUAGUCGACAACAAUUUUUUCGAUUCCACGGUGUUGAUUUGUGGAGCUAAGGUCUCGCAAAGUUCUACAAAUGGAUGCUUCGAUUUGUCCAACUGGUCUUCUCAUGGCCGCACUAUCACCAAACAACAAACUGAGAGUUAAACAGAAGUCUCUGGAGAGCUUGUGGGAGAAUAGGCUUCUAUAGUAAAAUCCCCCUCCCCGACCCCUCUUCCCCCCGAUUCCGGUGGUUCGCCGCCGGUGAGGGCCGAAGGAGGGGCCAGGCCACCUUCCCGUACUAGUAUAAAGUAGGUUAGGUCGGAGUUCUUCCGUAGUCAGGUCUUCCUGUAGCUCGGGUUUGUCCCUUUUGGAGUUUCGCCGGUGUUGCUUCAUGGCGAUCGGAGAAGACGAUGGUGGCGGUGGUGUUUGUGGCCGUGGCUGUCCCAGUGUCGUCGCUGAAGAUGGAUGGAUCUGGGGCGUUUGGCGUCCUUUCCAUGGCGACAAGGGCUUGCGGUGGUGGAUCCGGUGCAGCUGGCCUCUGUUCAUUGCUUGCCCAGAGUGAUGGAGAUGGAUGUGGUGUUUCUGGGCCGGCCGUCUCAGGCUCCCUGACAAGGACGGAUGGUGGUGGCUGCAAGAGCUGCUGCUGCUCAUGCUCGUUGGUGGGCUGAAUGAGCUGCUCCAGCUUGUUAGUUGGUUGAAUCUCCACAUGCUUCUGCUUGUUGAAGCUCUUGGUGGCAAGCUUGUUGGUUGGUUGCUCAGGCUCCUGCUUAUUGAAGCUCUCUGCGGCAACAUUUUCCCUUCCAUCUCCGGUGUUGCGUACCUCCGCCAAAUCGUUACAAGACAGGGGUUCAGUCGCCGCCAUCCUAAUUCUUGCAUGUUCAAGGCAAGUUGGAGUAUGGAGACUUUCUUCAAAUCUACUUGCAGUAGUAUUCAAGUUGAGGGCUCCAUUCGGGUUGAGUAUAGACCGUCUAGUCGGCUCUUGUCGAUAGGAUUGCAGUCUGUGCUCCUCAGAUUUGAUGGAGAACUCCUUGACAAUAUUUUGUUGAGUCCGGUGAAGCUUAAGAAAAAUUUACGACUCAACAACAAACCUCGAAUAGCGCCGUUUCCGUGGAGGCAGCCGAAGGGGUCACCGGUCUGUCAAGCGGUGUGCGCGUCUUCAGUAGAGGCUCGUGGACGUGGUCGUCGCGGCAUUACCGCAGUCCCCUGUCGAUCGCGUUCUUUACUGCUGUUUGGAUUAUCUUGGAGGAUGUUUUUCUUAGUUCAGCUAGCUUUACCUUCUGAAUGGAUGGUGUUGUUUUUUAUGUCUUAUCUUUUAUGGCGAUGUUCUGGGGAUGCCAUUUCCUUUGAGCUCUGUCUGUAAUCCUCACUAUAUGAAUAAAUUUAUGAGUUUUCAAAAAAAAAAA